rnacentral:rRNA from 1 species
UGGGGGAUAUUGCACAAUGGGGGGAACCCUGAUGCAGCGACGCCGCGUGGACGAAGAAGUAUUUCGGUAUGUAAAGUCCUAUCAGCAGGGAAGAAGAAAUGACGGUACCUGACUAAGAAGCCCCGGCUAACUACGUGCCAGCAGCCGCGGUAAUACGUAGGGGGCAAGCGUUAUCCGGAUUUACUGGGUGUAAAGGGAGCGCAGGCGGCAGCGCAAGUCUGAUGUGAAAGCCCGGGGCCCAACCGCGGGACUGCAUUGGAAACUGCGCAGCUGGAGUGCCGGAGGGGUAAGCGGAAUUCCUAGUGUAGCGGUGAAAUGCGUAGAUAUUAGGAGGAACACCAGUGGCGAAGGCGGCUUACUGGACGGCAACUGACGCUGAGGCUCGAAAGCGUGGGGAGCAAACAGG